ensembl:lncRNA novel transcript
CGUGUGUGCACGUCUGUGUGUGUGCUUCAGUCACAGAAGGGGGUGAGAAGUGGGAAGAGGGGAUUUGCAUAGAACCUCCAAUUUUCCUUAUUUCCUAGGGAGUUGAUGAUUUCAGCCAAAUAUAAGUCUUAACGUUACAUCUGCAAUGGAAAAACAAGUCAAACUCAGCAAAAAGGAGCCCUGAAGAGACAGAGUUAAGUGCUUCCGUGAUGAGAGUAGAGUUGGCCUAUGCUGUCCCUCCCAGGACUCCUUUACCCAAGAGAAAGAGAGAGUGUGCAUCCAAAGGGGAGUGAAAAUAGAAUAUAAAUAGGGAAAAUAGAACCAUUCAGAGCAGUUCAGGGAUCUUUACUACUCUGACAUGGAAGGAAGAAGGAGGAGAAGAGAAAAGAUGAACGGACCUUGAACCUGGGAUAUCGCUCAUGUGACUGCUACAUUGGUAUUAAGAUACAGCAUUCAUGUGCCCUGGAAUGUUUUGUUCUAUUAGGUGCUACACCCAGUAGAACAGUGCUCCAUCCAAUGCAAUUUUCUGGAAUUUAAACAAUCCAGACCAGAAUUUUUCCUCCUUGGAGAUGGAAUGUCUUGCUCCAGAGGGAGGAGGAAGAAGAGAAAAGAGAAGUCUCAACCAGCCUCCUCUCUACCCCACACAGAGAAUAGAGAUGCAAAACUUCUCCCAUAGAGUGUUUCAGCUUCUUCCUCGUUCCUCUUGCUUCUUUUCUCUUGGGAUAAUGACUUGGGUUUGGCCAGUAUGUAAAGUUGACUUGUGGUACCUCUGGCUCUUCUCCAGGGGUGCUCACAGAAAUAACUACAGUGGACUAGAAUGAGAUGCUUGAAACCUUCCCCCGAGCCUAGCUCUGCAUUUAGGAGAACAGCACAGCGCACCAUGAUCUGAUAUAGGUAUAGGUGGGUGGGAGUCUCAGUCUGUAGUUCUAUAUCACCUAUUAAGAGACUGGAACCUGGUCCCAUGUUUUCUGCAGGAGGUUGAGCUCUUAACAAUGUGCCAAGCCAGCAGCUGUGCCCUAGAGUCUUGGCCUAAGACAAGCAAAUAAUUGUCAGAUGACUGAAUAGUUCUGUUUCCUUAUUAAAUCUUAGGUUUAGAAUUCCUUUCACAAUUAAAAAGAUUUGGACAACAAC